rnacentral:lncRNA from 1 species
UAAUUAUUUGAACUAUGAUUAACAUUGUCUAUUUUGGUUUCAGGGAAGGUAUCAACUCUACACUGCAAAGCAGACAAUAUUAGGCAGCAGUGUGUACUAUUUCUCCAUUAUGUUAAAGUUUUCAUCUUCAGGUAUCUGAAAGUACAGAAUGCUGAGAGUCAUGUUCCUGUCCAUCCUUAUGAGGCUUUGGAGGCUCAGCUUCCCUCAGUGUUGAUUGAUGAGCUUCAUGGAUUACUCUUGUAUAUUGGACACCUAUCUGAACUUCCCAGUGUUAAUAUAGGAGCAUUUGUAAAUCAAAACCAGAUUAAGCUUUUUCCACCGUCAUGGCAUUUAUUACAUCUCCACUUGGAUAUACAUUGGCUGGUGCUAGAAAUUCUUUACAUGCUGGGUGAAAAAUUGAAACAAGUUGUAUAUGGUCAUCAGUUUAUGAAUCUGGCAAGUGACAAUUUAACCAACAUCAGCCUAUUUGAAGAACAUUGUGAAACUCUCCUUUGUGAUUUAAUAAGCCUGUCACUCAACAGGUACGACAAGGUAAUGCUUUAAGAGUUUGUAUUUUUGAGACUUAAAGACAGUAUUCAGUCCUUAAUGCAUGUCGUUUAAUCUGUAAGAAUUUAAACUAAAAUGCUUUAUAUGUUCUAAUUUUAUAUUUAGUUGCUAUUAUCUGGGAGCUGAAAGGGAAAACAAUUUUUAUUUAAACAUCUAAAAGAGGCUGGAAUUGGUAUUUUAGAGCUUUUCUUUUUUUCUUUUUUUUUUUUUUUUUAAGAAAAAUAGCCUUUUCUAUUUUGACAAAAAUAAAUAAAUAAAAAUGAUGUUUACCGAAAUCACUGGAAGCCUAAUUUCUAUCCAAAUAGUAGAGGCCAGCUCUUUAAUAAUGUAUUGUAUUACUGUUGUGUAAUAAUAAAAUAAAUGCUUACUUAAAGUUACUUUACACAUUUUAAGAGAGGAUUUUCUUGCUUGUUUUCAUAAAAGGUCUCGAAUCUGGGUAAAAUUAUGUGUUUUUAUUAAAUUAUGUUUAUCAUAGAGUGUUUAAUGGAGACAGUGAUUUAAAGGUGCUACAGAACAUGUUUAUUUUUAAGUAGUAUAAAUGUUUGUAGAGUAUUAUCUGUUAUUUUAGAUUACAAGCGUAAAGACUGUUUUUGGGAAAUCAAGAUUGAGGGAAAAGGAGUUUUAUAAUUUUUCAAAAUUUAGAUUUUUUUAUGCAUUAUCAAUAUUUUUACAAUUUAGUGUGUAUGUGUAUUAGUGGAUUAACCAGAUAUGAUAGAAUAACUUUUAAAUAUUUAUUUAUUUUUGUUAAUUGACAAAAUUAUACAUAUUUAUCAUAUACAUCAUGUUUUGAUAUGUGUAUACAGUGUAGAAUGGCUAAAUAUAGCUAAUUAGCAUAUGUAUUAUCUCACAUUCUUAUUUUUUGUGUGAGAACACUUAAAAUCUAUGCUUCUAGUGAUUUUCAAGAAUACAAUAUAGUACAUUGUUUUUAACUGUAGUCAUCAUGUUGAGCUUAUUCCCUUAUCUAACUGAAAUUUUAUAUGCUUUGAUCAACAUCUACCCCGCCUCCCUCCUAAUCCUCCUCACAGCCCUUGGUAAGGAUCAUCUUACUCUGCUUCUAUGAGUUCAGCUUUUUUAGAUUCUACAUAUAAGUGAGAUUAUGUGUUACUUGUCUUUCUGUGCCUGGCUUAUUUCACUUAAUUUAAUGUCCUCCAGGUUCAUCCAUAUUGUUGCAAAUGACAGCAUUUCCAUCUUCUCAAGGCUGAAUAGUAGGGUCAUACACUGUGUAACAAAGUUUUAGUCAGUGACAGACCACAUAUACAAGGUAGCUAUACCACAUAGCCUAGGUGUGCAGUAGUAGGCUGAAAAAGUUUAAGUACAAUAAAUCAUGUUAGCCUAAAGACGUGCUUCUCAGAACAUGUCCUGCUGUUAAGUGACACAUGACUGUAUUCCAUUGUGUAUAUAAACCACAUUUUCUUUAUGCAUUCAUCUGUUGAUGGACAAUUUGGUUGAUUCCAUGUCUUGGCUCUUAUAAAUAAUGCUGCAGUGAACAUGGGAAUGCAGAUAUCUCUUAAACAUACUAAUUUCAUUUUCUUUGCAAAUAUACCUAGUAGGAUUGCUGGAUCAUGUGGUAGUUCUAUAUUUAAUUUUGUGAGGAAUUUGCAUACUGUAUUACAUGAUGGCUGUACCAAUUUACAUUCUCACCAAACUGUGCAAGGGUUUUCUUGUCACCACUUCCUCUCUGGCGCUUAUUAUCUUUUGUCUUUUUGGUAAUAGCCAUUAUAACAGGUUUGAGGUGAUAUCUUAUCAAGUUUUAAUUUGCAUUUCCAUAAUGAGUAGUGACGUUGAGCAUUUUUCAUGUACUGCUUGCCCAUUUGUAUGUCUUCUUUUAAGAAAUGUCAGCUAGGCGCGGUGGCUCACGCCUGUAAUCCCAGCACUUUGGGAGGCCGAGGCAGGCAGAUCACAAGGUCAGGAGAUCGAGACCAUCCUGGUUAACAUGGUGAAACCCGUCUCUACUAAAAAUACAAAAAAUUAGCCGGGCAUGGUGGUGCGUGCCUGUAGUCCCAGCUACUUGGGAGGCUGAGGCGGGAGAAUUGCUUGAACCUGGGAGGCGCAGGUUGCAGUGUGCCAAUAUUGCGAUAUUGUGCCACUGCACUCCAGCCUGGCAACAGAGAGAGACUCUGCCUCAAAAAAAAAAAAAGAAAAAAGAAAACGUCUGUUUAUAUUUUUUGCCAAUUUUGUAAUUGGGUUGUUUUCUUGCUAUUGAGUUGUUUGCGUUCCUUAUAUAUUUAAAAUACUAACCCCUUAUCAGAUGUAUGGUUUGCAAAUAUUUUCUUCCAUUCUCGAGAUUUUCCCUUCAUUCCGUUGAUUUUUUUUCCUUUGCUUUGCAGAUAUUUCCUUUUUAUUUUGAUAUAAUCCCAUUUGUCAGUUUUCAUUUUCAUGGCUUGUGCUUUUUGGGGUCAUAUCCAAGAAAUCAUUUACCAGACCAUUGUCAUAUAGCUUUUCCCCUAUGUUUUCUUCUAGUUUUAUAGUUUCAGGUCUUACAUUUAAGUCUUUAAUUUAUUUUGAGUUGAUUUUUCUGUAUGGUGUGAAACAAGGGCCUAAAUUCAUUCUGUAUGUGGAUAUCCAGUUGUCCCAACCUGUUUAUUGAAGAAGCUGUCCUUUCCCCGUGUCAUGCUCUUUUCAUCAUUGUCAAAAAUCAAUUGUUCUGUUUUGUUCUGUGUCUGUUUGUGUGCUAGCAGCACACUGUUUUGAUUACUGUAGCUUUGUAGUAUAUUUUGAAGUCAGGUAGUGUCAUGCCUCGAGCUUUGUUCUUUUUUGCUAAAGAUUGCUGGGUCUAUUCAGGACCUUUUGUGAUUUCCUACCAAUUUUAGGAUUGUUUUUUCUAUUUCUGUAAAAAAGUGUCAUUAAAUAUUUUGGUAGGGAUUUCAUUGAAUCUGUAGGUCACUUUGGGUAGUAUGGACAUUUUAACAAUAUUUCUUCCAAUCCAUGACCACAAGAUAUUUUUUCUACUUACUUGUGUUGUAUUCAGUUUCUUUCAUCAGUGUUUUUUAUUUUUCAGUGUAUAGGCCUUUUACUCUUUGGUUAAAUUUAUCCCUAAGUAUUUUUAUUUUUGUAGGUAUAUACUAUAUAUGGGAUUGUUUUAUUGAUUUCUUUUUUGGAUAGUUUGUUGUUAUUGUAUAGAAAUGCUAUGGUAUUUUGUAUGUUGAUUUUUGUAUCCUGCAACUUUACUGCAUUUAUUUAUUCAAAUAAUUUUUGGUGAUGUCUUUAGAGGUUUCUAUAUAUAAAAGAUCAUGUUAUCUACAAACAGCAACAAUUUUAACAUUUCUUUCUGUUUAGAUGCCUUUUCUUUCUUUUGCAUAAUUGCUGUGGCUAGGAUUUCUAGUAACAUCCUAAUACUUUUUUUUUAACUUUGUAUUAGGUUAGAAAAGUGUACAUAACUUACGUAAAAUAUUGCAUACAUUAUUAAUUUAAGAAGCCUAGCUAUAUUUGCAAAUAUAGUGUACAUUCUGUGCAUUAUCUAGGGCUGCUGAGGAUUUUUUUAUUAAAAAAAGGUAGAUAAUUUAGAAAUUACUGAAUCUUUAUAAAUCCCUAAUAACUGUAUUCAUUCUGUCUUGCAAAAUUUUUACUCUGUUUACAGUGAAUCAAAAUUUAUUUUCUAAUCUUUUCAUUAGAAGUCUUUUGUUGUAGAUGACUCAGGGCAAAAUAAGCAAACUAGCCCUGAGGUGUAAUCUAGCCCAUUACCUAUUUUUGUAAAUAUAGUUUUACUGGGAUAUAACCAGGUCCAUUUCUCUUACCAGGUAUCUGCGGCUGUUGUACUGAAAUGGCAGAGUUCAGUAGUUGUGACAGAGACUGUAUUGACAACAGACUCUUAAAUAUGUCCUAUCUGGCCCUUUAUAGAAAAAGUUUGCUGGCUGGGCGAGGUGGCUCAUGCCUGUAAUCCUAGCACUUUGGGAGGCCGAGGCGGGUGUAUCACGAGGUCAGGAGAUCGAGACCAUCCUGGCUAACACGGUGAAACCCCGUCUCUACUAAAAGUACAAAAAAUUAGCCGGGCGUGGUGGUGGGCGCCUGUAGUCCCAGCUACUUGGGAGGCUGAGGCGGGAGAAUGGCGUGAACCUGGGAGGCGGAGCUUGCAGUGAGCCAAGAUCGCUCCACUGCACUCCAGCCUGGGUGACAGAGCGAGACUCCAUCUCACAAAAAGAAAAAAAAAAGAGAAAGUUUGCUGACCACGGCACUAGAUGAUUAAAAUUUUUUUUUAAGUUGAAAUCAAAUUAAUCUGUGCUUUUUGUUUUAAAAUGGAAAUUUGUCUUAAAAGUUAAAUGAAAUUGCACAUUUUCAAUAAAUAAUUUUGUCUAAUUGAGAAUAAAUUCUUAGUCAUCUAAAUCAUUCUUUUAAAAGUAUUUGAAAGAUAUAUGGCAUUUAAAAUUCUGCUGCUGUCUUAUAAAUAACACAUUUUGGUUAUUUUCUAUAGGUUAGGUCUUCUGAAUCAUUAAUGAGUGACCAGUGUCCAUGUUUAUGCAUUAAAGAAUUAUGGGUUCUACUUAUUCAUCUUCUAGACCACAGAAGUAAAUGGUUUGUCUCGGAACCCUUAUGUGGGUUUACAGACUGAGUUCAUGUUACCUAGAUUUUAUUAAAAAUUUCAAACCAUUGAGCCCAGGAUAUCGAGGAUACAGUGAGCCAAGAUUGUGCCACUGCACUCCAGCCUGGAUGACAAAGCAAGACCCUCUCUUGAAAAAAGAAAAAAAAAUUUCAAGGCAUUGAAUUCUGGGUAGCCAAGAAAAAUGGAUGGAUGCCUAAACCCACAUCUCCCUACAUAACCUUCCAACAAAAUAUAGAACAGCAAAAUCAAAUAUAUCUACUGUUGACUCUUGAACAAUGUGGGAGUUAGGGAUGCUGACCGUCCCCCCAACAUGCAGUCAGAAAACUGCAUGUAACUUUUGACUUCCCCAAAAAACCAUUGGUGGCCUACUAUUGACUGCAAUCCUUACCCAUAACAUAAAGAAACAAUUAACAUGUAUUUUGUAUGUUGUAUGUAUUAUAUACAUGAUAAACUAGAGAAAAUAAAUGUUAAGAAAACCAUAAGAGAAUAUAUAUUUACUUCUCAUUAAGUGGAAGUAGGUCACCAUGAAGGUCUUCAUCCUCAUCUUCAUGUUGAGUAGGCUAAGGAGGAGGAGGAAGAAGAGGAGGGGUUGGUCUUGCUGUCUUCGGGGUGGUAGAGAUGGAAGAAAAUCCAUGUAUAAGCGCACCCAUGCAUUUCAAACCCGUGUUGUUCAAACGUCAGCUGUAUACAAAAACAUACGUAUUAUAUAACUGCAAAUGGGAGUGCUUAGUACUGUCAGUUUUAAAAACAGAAAACCUCUAAAGCUCUUACCACGAGCCUUUCUAGCAAGGCAGGGCAGUCUGAGAAAAACUACUCUGAGAAGAGAACUAACAGUGGUUAUAAAACUGCUUUAAAAUCAUUGCCAGAAUGUGAAGAUACUGAAAAAGUUUUCUUGUAGAUCGGAGAACUGAUAAGAAAGAAACAUAAAAGUGUCCACAUGACAUGGAGUUUCUGUAGAAGGCAAAAAUGAAUCAUGGUACCCAUUGGUGAUUGGGUGGUGAAGGGCACCAGAAGAGAAAGCAGAAAAUUUAGGGUCUUAAAACACCACCACCAAAAAAAGAAUAAAUCAAAGGACUCAUACCCUCUCCCACCACCAAAAAAAAAGAAGAAAGAAAAGGAAAGGAAAUUCAGUAAAGAAAUGGGACUUUGGUGCAUUGUCAAAAGAAGGUAACCCUGAAUUAAGAAUCUUUUAAGCUAAUCCUAAUCUACAAAAUGAAUGGAAUGAAACUAGACCAUUAUAAACUUACUAGAAGAAAACAGAUUUGAUAACACUUUAGUUGAUGGUACCCUCUCCCCCAGAAACAACCAUAAAACAGAAGAAACUGACAACACUGUAGAUUGAAUUAGUUUGUCUGUUCAGACUACAUCUGGGAGUAUAGAAAAACACCUUGAAUAAGAUACUCAAAUGUUAAAAACAAAUGGACAGAAAACCGGGGAUGGAUGGAAAGAAUACAUUCAAUGCAGGAAAGAAAUAGGAAGAGGAAAAUUAUAUCCGUAUUGACUAAAUUACAACAUGACUGAGGGAGAAUAGACUUAAAUGAAAAUUUAAUAAGGGGCAUAGAAGAAAGGUUGAAAACAACUAAGGGAAUAAAAAUGAGAUAAAUAUGAAGAGAGUGAGAAAAUGGUUGAGAUGGAAGGUAGGCAAGGAGGAAAUAACUGUACAUAUAAAUGCAAUCCCUAGAGAAGAAAACAGUGUGAUAUAGCUAAUAUUAAAAACUAUAAUCAAAGGAAACUUCCCAGAAAUAAAAGAUCUAAAUCUACGUAUUGAAAGGGUCUGCUGGAUAAUUUGAAAGAUUAACCCCAAGCAAUCCACCCGAAGACAAGUCUUACUAAAACUGUUUCACUUUAAACAUAAAGGAAAAAAUCUCCAAGUCCUCUAGGCACAAAGACCAAACAACUUAUAAGAGCAAAAUAAUUUUAUUGGCACUAGACUUGCAAAGUCAACUUAAAACAAGGCCUCAAUGCAGCAUUUAAAAUGACUCAAUGAAAAAGUGUGAGCCAAGGAUUUUGUAACUUUGACCCUAGCAAUCCCACUUCCAGGAAUUUACUCUAAAUGUGUACCCUCCAAAAUUAAAAUGCAUAUGCAUACGUUUAUUUAUUGCAGUAUUGUUUUUAUAAUAGUAUAGUAGAAACUAAAUUCUUAUAUAUAAAAGAGUAGUUGAACAAACCAUGGUAUAUCUGUACUCUGAAGUAUUAUUCUGUAUUAGUGUGUGUUCUCCAGAGAAACAGCCAAUAGGAUAUAUAGAUAUAUAUAUAUAUAUAAGAUUUAUUAUAAUGAAUUGGCUCGCAGAGUUAUGGAGGCCAAGAAGUCCCGAAUCUGAGGUUGGCAAGCUGAAGACCCAGAGGAGCUGAUGGUAUAGUUUCCAGUCUCAGUCCAAAGGUCUGCAAACCAGGAAAGCCAAUGGUGUAAUUUCCAGUCUGAGUCCAAGUCUGAAGGCAGGAAAAGAACAGUGUUUCAGUAUGAAGCACAGGGAGUCUUCUCUACCCUCGGAGGACUUUUUGUUGUAUUCAGGCCACUAAUUGAUUGGAUGGCACCCACCCAUAUUAGAGAGGGCCAUCUCUUUACUCAGCCUACCAAUUAAAAUGUAACUCUCAACGAGAAAACCUUUAUAGACACACUCAGAAUAAUAUUUAACCAAAUAUCUUGGCAUCCUGUGGCCUGUUCAAGUUGACACAUAAAAUUAACCAUUCUAUUUGUAGUUGUACAAUAGAAUGAGGAAGAUAUCUGAACUGAUACGGAGUGAGUUGCAGAAUGUAUUGUUAAAUGAUAGAAAUAAAGUUCAAAACUAUAGGAUGAUGUUACCUUUUGUAUAAGAAAUUAGGAAAAAGGCAAUGUGUGUGUGUGUAUAUAUAUGUGUUCAAUUGUGCACAAAUAAAUACUGGAAAGACAAACUAUUGAGAUUGGUGGGUAAAAAUAAAGAUGGGUGGGUGAAAAUGGAGUGGAAGGGUUUGAUGUAAUUAUUUGGGUAGUUCUGACUUUAGAAUCGUGUUAAUGUUCCACAUGCCCUAAAAUUAAAUCAAUCUGUAUGAAAGGUGCACUCAAUGGAAUAUAACAGAAACAACUGAACUUAAAUGUAUUUUAAAUGAAUAACACUCUUUGAGGGGAUUGGCAAUGUUAACCCAGGUAACUUAAGAAUGUACUAUUUUGACACUAUACUAUAAGGCUAAAGACAAUCAUAAAGAAUUGUAAAUACUUAGGAGAUUUGUUUUUUACAUUGUUAUGUGAGGAUUAGCAAUUUUAAAUCUAUUAUAUUUGUAUUCUUGGACUGGACAAAUUAAUAAAUACAUUGUGGGUAA